rnacentral:rRNA from 1 species
GAUGAACGCUGGCGGCGUGCUUAACACAUGCAAGUCGAACGAAGCACUUUUAAUUCUUCGGAAGAGAAAGUGACUGAGUGGCGGACGGGUGAGUAACGCGUGGGUAACCUGCCUUAUACAGGGGGAUAAAAGUUAGAAAUGACUGCUAAUACCGCAUAAGCCGAUAGAGUCGCAUGACUUAGGCGGAAAAGAUUUAUCGGUAUAAGAUGGACCCGCGUCUGAUUAGCUAGUUGUCGAGGUAAUGGCCCACCAAGGCGACGAUCAGUAGCCGGCUUGAGAGAGUGAACGGCCACAUUGGGACUGAGACACGGCCCAAACUCCUACGGGAGGCAGCAGUGGGGAAUAUUGCACAAUGGGGGAAACCCUGAUGCAGCAACGCCGCGUGAAGGAAGAAGUAUUUCGGUAUGUAAACUUCUAUCAGCAGGGAAGAAAAUGACGGUACCUGACUAAGAAGCCCCGGCUAACUACGUGCCAGCAGCCGCCGUAA